rnacentral:rRNA from 1 species
GACUACAGGGGUAUCUAAUCCCGUUCGCUCCCCUAGCUUUCGCACCUCAGCGUCAGGAUAUGACCAGGAAGCCGCCUUCGCCACGGGUGUUCCUCCAGAUAUCUACGCAUUUCACCGCUACACCUGGAAUUCCACUUCCCUCUCCAUACCUCAAGAUCCCCAGUUUCAAAGGCAGUUCCGAGGUUGAGCCUCGGCAUUUCACCUCUGACUUAAAGAUCCGCCUACGCGCGCUUUACGCCCAGUGAAUUCGGACAACGCUCGCCCCCUACGUAUUACCGCGGCUGCUGGCACGUAGUUAGCCGGGGCUUAUUCUUGGGGUACCGUCACAUCCUUCUUCCCCCAAAAAAGACCUUUACAUCCCGAAAGACUUCAUCAGUCACGCGACGUCGCUGCGUCAGGCUUUCGCCCAUUGCGCAAGAUUCCUCACUGCUGCCCCCCGUAGG